ensembl:lncRNA novel transcript, antisense to KAZN
GGUCAAGCAGCUCAAGCCAUUUAUUCAGACCCGAGUGACAAUGAGGAGGCAGAGUGACGAGGAAGUCUGGAUGAAGAGAGUUCCAAGAAGGAAGAGCAAUUGCAAAGUACUUGAACAUGCUUGGCUAGUUCAGGGGACAGAAAGAAGGUCCUAAGGAGGAGAGAUGGAAGCAGAUGCUGGGUGAAGUUGGAGAGAUAGAUGCUAUGAGCCUAAGGCUAAAUCGGUAGCUUCUCAAGAGGAAAUGUGAUGAGCAGCAUGGCGCACGUUGAGGAAGUGUGGCGAGCAGCAUGGCGCAUGUUUUACGUCCUCAUAUUCCCCUCGGAGCCACCUUCCUCUCAGCUUCUGUCUGCCCACUGAGCUUGUGUCAGGAGCCCAGGUUCUCAUGAUCUACCUUCUCCUGUGUCCACAUCACAAGGCGUGGACGCCAAGGCUGACCUGGAUCAUCUCUGAGGGCCCCAUGCUCACCAGCUGGGUAGUCAUGGACAUGUUAAUUAACCUCCUCAGUGUCUUCAUCAAACCUGACGAAGGAACAGCAUUUAUUUCCUCCAGGGGAAGCAUGACGCUGGAACAACAGAAUGCUCAUAAAACCCUUAGCACAGUGACUGCCUAGAAUGAGCUGCUAUUAAAGCCACUUCUGUGCUACUGUGUUGGAAACAAAGACACACAUUACUAAAGACUCUGAUGUCGGAGGCCACAGAACAUGGAGGAGAAAACCAACCCUUUGGCCCUCACUCUCUGCAUCUGUAAAAUGGGAUCAUACCUGGUUGCCAAUGUCCCAGGCUGCUGAGGGUCAAACGAGGUGAUUUAUGCACCAAGCACUGUCUAUUGUAAACACCCGUGAGCCUCUUAGGUGCAGAGUGUGGGUGGGCCCUGGUAUGGUGGGAUACAGCUGCUCUCUCCAGGAUCUGCCUUUCCCAGGCCUGGGAGCUCCAUGAGGGCAGGACCGUGUCUGCUUUUGAUCAAUCAAGUGCUGGAUAUUCCAUGGGCUCUCAAUCGAUACCGUAAGGUGAACGAAGGAGAAGGGACAAUGGCAGGGGAUGUCAGGGAACUUUCCACAGGUAGAUGAUGUACCACGGACUUGGAGGCAGCAGGUCCUGACUUACAGGAUCAGAGAUAAGAUAAAAAAAUCUGCUCAAGGGCUGGGCAUGGUGACUUACACCUGCAGUCCCAGCACUUUGGGAGGCCACGGUGGGAGGAUCACUUGAGGUCAGGAGUUCAAGACCAGCCUGGGCAGCAUAGUGAGAACUGAUCUCUUCUAAAAAAUUUUAAAAUGUUAACAAAAAAUUAGCCAGGUGUGGUGAUGCAUGCCUGUAGUCCCAACUACUUGGGAGGCUGAGAUGGGAGGAUGGCCUGAGCCCAGGAGGUCAAGGUUACAGUGAGCUAUGAUUGCACCACUGCACUCCAGCCUGGGUGACACAGCGAGAUCUUGUCUCAAAAAAAAAAAAAAAAAAAA